AGAACGAACGCUGGCGGCAGGCUUAACACAUGCAAGUCGAACGAAUGCAGCAAUGCAUUAGUGGCGCACGGGUGAGUAACGCGUGGAUAUCUGCCUUUUGGUUCGGGAUAACCUUGGGAAACUAGGGCUAAUACCGAAUGGUUCCUACGGGAUAAAGAUUUAUCGCCAAAAGAUGAGUCCGCGUCCGAUUAGCUAGUUGGUGGGGUAAUGGCCCACCAAGGCGACGAUCGGUAGCUGGUCUGAGAGGACGAUCAGCCACACUGGGACUGAGACACGGCCCAGACUCCUACGGGAGGCAGCAGUGGGAAUAUUGGACAAUGGGGGCAACCCUGAUCCAGCCAUGCCGCGUGAGUGAUGAAGGCCUUCGGGUUGUAAAGCUCUUUUGGCGGGGACGAUGAUGACGGUACCGCAGAAUAAGCCCCGGCUAACUUCGCGCCAGCAGCCGC
rnacentral:rRNA from 1 species